GACGAACGCUGGCGGCGUGCCUAAUACAUGCAAGUAGAACGCUGAAGGAGGAGCUUGCUUCUCUGGAUGAGUUGCGAACGGGUGAGUAACGCGUAGGUAACCUGCCUGGUAGCGGGGGAUAACUAUUGGAAACGAUAGCUAAUACCGCAUAAUAGUAGAUGUUGCAUGACAUUUGCUUAAAAGGUGCAAUUGCAUCACUACCAGAUGGACCUGCGUUGUAUUAGCUAGUUGGUGGGGUAACGGCUCACCAAGGCGACGAUACAUAGCCGACCUGAGAGGGUGAUCGGCCACACUGGGACUGAGACACGGCCCAGACUCCUACGGGAGGCAGCAGUAGGGAAUCUUCGGCAAUGGACGGAAGUCUGACCGAGCAACGCCGCGUGAGUGAAGAAGGUUUUCGGAUCGUAAAGCUCUGUUGUAAGAGAAGAACGAGUGUGAGAGUGGAAAGUUCACACUGUGACGGUAUCUUACCAGAAAAGGACGGCUAACUACGU
rnacentral:rRNA from 1 species